AUUGAACGCUGGCGGCAGGCCUAACACAUGCAAGUCGAACGAGUGGCGGACGGGUGUGUAAUGUCUGGGAAACUGCCUGAUAGAGGGGGAUAACUACUGGAAACGGUAGCUAAUACUGCAUACCAUCAUUUGUGCCCAGAUGGGUUUAUCGUGUUGGUGGGGUAACGGCUCACCAAGGCGACGAUCCCUAGCUGGUCUGAGAGGACGACCAGCCACACGGGAACUGAGACACUGUCCAGAAUCCAACGGGAGGCAGCAGUGGGGAAUAUUGCACAAUGGGCGCAAGCCUGAUGCAGCCAUGCCGCGUGUAUGAAGAAGGUCUUGGGGUUGUAAAGUACUUUCAUCGGGGAGGCGUUACCCGCAGAGAAAGCAACGGCUAACUCCGUGCCAGCAGCCGCGGUAAUAC
rnacentral:rRNA from 1 species